CAGCUUCAGCCCUGCCGCUGCCGCAGCCAGUGCACCCAGUGAGCCCACGUUCUCCGCCGAUGCACCCAGGAACAGGGCGAAGUCACAGCGCGCCCCGGCCUCGGCCAGCUUCUGUGCCAGGGCGAAGGAUGCAGCGUCGGUGAUGGCGGGGCUGGUGUUGGGCAUGGCACACACCAUGGUGACACCCCCGGCCAGGGCGGCUGCAGUGCCCGAGGAGAAGUCCUCCUUGUGUGUGGCACCUGGCUCACGCAGGUGCAC
rnacentral:lncRNA from 1 species